GCUAUCAUUCUCAGGUAAGA
rnacentral:snRNA from 1 species